CACUUGAGCUGGGAGUCAGGCUGCUCAGCUCCGCCGGUGUGUCGGCAAGAACUGAGUGGGGGGGGGGGACCUUGACUCCCAGCCCCACAGAGCUCAGGCGGCUCCUGCUGCUGGGGGGAGCGCCUGGGGGUGCUGGGAUCACCCGCUGAGGACCAGGCACAGAGGCCGUUAGUCUCAGCAGAAAGGGGGACACGAACAGCAAGUUCAGGGGUCAGGCUGCAGGUCUGAGGCCGGGGCCGUGUGCCCCGGGGAGGAGACCAGCCCCGAGCCCAGACCCCUCUCUUCCGAGACAGGGAGGCUCUCUCUACGCGGGAGCACUUGCCGAGGCCCCAGGACGGUGUCCCGAGGCGGUCCUCCCCGUGGCUAAGCUGCUCUGAGCGAGCUCCUUCCUUUCGACCCAGGGAUCUCCAACUGAGAAAUGCCCCCGGAGCUUGGCACUGUGCCUUGGCCCGGGCACAGGGCAGCCUCCGCUUGCUGGACGGGUGACUGGAAACGUCUGUCGCCGCGGCACAGGGCCUGGCUUAUUCACUGGCGGUAGCAAAACCACGAACAGCUUCUGGAAGAUCGACCCACAUUCCACAAAACCUGUGUUCUGGGGAGUUCACCUGGAGCCCCUCGGUCUGGAGACCGCUGACCUCGGUUCACAUGGGUCACUUAUUACCUGGCCUCGGGGUCUUCGAACCAUCUCCCCUGAGCAUCUGCUCUCUCCUUCACAAAGUGGGAGGGUAGCGUCCGCCGCACAGAUUGUUUGAAACAGACAACAUGACGGCUCAUGGCUCAUGGCUCUGUCUCGGGUAAGUUACUCCAGCCCGUGGGUCCACGGCCACAGAGGUCCCGCGUGGCUGCUCCUGAGGGAACCUCUUCUGACCCGGCCUCACUGCUCGAGAGGCUCGCUGAAUGCGGAGCGAGCUCCAGGCCGGCCCCGGGGUGCCCUUUGGCUUCCGUCACACACCCGCCUAGAUGCUGCUCCGGGGGAAGGCCGGGCCCUGCAGCGGGGCCACAGGCUUCAGGGGCCCCUGCAACUCCCAUACCCCGUCCUGCGUGUCCCCCUGGUGGAGCUUCCGUGAUGCCCCCGGGGCCGGCGGGGCUGUGCUUGCUGGACUCCCUUGAACCCUGGACUUUCCUUGGCAGUGGCGCGGGCCGCCUGGGGCAGUCACUGUCUCUUCCCAGCCAGGCUGUCUCCUCGAUGGACUUGUCCUCACUGCUCUGGGGGAAACCGGGUGGCCGACGGCUGGUCCUGACACCGGCCAGGGAUGACAGAGUCACUGAGUGCGACGAAACGGGAGGCCUGGCUUGGAACUGCCCCUUCCCGUGUGGGCACACGUGGCUCCCCACGGCCCCCGUGCAGGAGCCCUGCUGUGUCCCCGUUGCUCUGUGCGUGUUCGAGCUGGGCGGGCAGGCGGGCUUCUAACACAGGUCUCAUGGCACACAGCCAUGCGGCUGCAGGACACAGAGGAUGCAGGGAGACGGCGGGGCCCCCGGGCUCUGCCAUCGGGCAUCAGAGGGUCAGUGCUCGCCCGUGGCAUCUGCACGCCAGACACGUGACGUGCCUUGUCCACUGGACUGUGGCCAGAGUGGGCCACUUCUGGGGGAGCCUCAGGGUCACCGGGGAGCUGUGCUCACCCCUCCCCUCAGCUGGGGUGACCGUGGAGGCCAGUGUCAGGACGAAUCUGCAUCAGCCCGGCUCUCCAGCGAUCCCCACGCCCCCCGCACAGCUCGUCGAACACGAACAAGAAACACGCUCGCUGUGUUAAUGCUGGUCCUGGUUGUCGCUGCUGCUUAAUCUAGCCUAUCCUGACAAACGCAUGGCGGGGGACCACCCCCUAAGUCCCGCUGAGGGGUGACGGCCACCUGCGCUGUAGCCACAGGGAGAGAGGACACCGGCGAGUGGGCCUGAGAGAUUUGGGGGCUGGUGUGGCCGCCAGUGACUAGAGAGGCACGCUGGGGUCAAGACGUUUCCAAAGCCCGCCGAAACAGAAGUAGGAGUCACCACCCCAUCCCAGUGUCCAGGGCCAGGGCCUGGUGUCGGCUAGCUCUGAACCCGCCAAGGGCCCCCGGGACCCGUGCCACAGCUCCGCCGAGCAGGAGUCCAGGCACAGAUGGACGGGAAAGCUGGGGUCAGAAGGGCCUCCCUUUGGGACGAGCCCCACCGUGUGGGGCAAGGGGUCUGCAGCCUGCAGAACAGGAUGCGGGGGAGGCUCUGUUACAUUCUCACAGACGUGCCAGCUGAGGCUUGGGGAGCCUGACAACCUUCCCCACCUAAGAAGGGCCGGGGUCCAAAGCCUGUCCACGUGGCCAGAAACCCUUGCUGCUAGAGGUGGGCAACUCACCCCUCGGCGAGUGGGCUUCGCAUUGGAAGGGCUGUGAGCUCCUCCGUGGGAGGGGGUGGGCAGUGGAGGUGUCCAAGGGCACGACAGGUGCCCUCACGGAGGUCGCUGGGCGCAGGCAGCAGUCCAGCCCCCUUGGGUGCAGACGUCACCAGUGCUCCUGCACACACGCGGGGGGCUGAGUCCCGUUCCUGGCCACGUGCACACAGGCGCUCGCCCCUGGAUGUUGGGGAAACCGGACUGUACAGAUACAGUAUGCUAAAAUACAGAAGCCUGUAUUUUAGGUCUUCCCUUUAUGCUCAUGGGAUCGGACUUGCCAGGCUCCGACCCAAGCAGAAACCAGAGCUCCUUCACACAAGUCGCUGGAGCGGUAGUGACAGACUUUGAGGUGCUGUGAUGCUCUGUUUUCUUGGCGGGGGACGGCACACGCAAACUGCCCAGCGGUCGGUGGAGGACGGCUCAGGUUCUGCAGUCACCUGCCCGCCGGUCCCCACACGCUCCGGAGCUUCGAGCAAGUUACCUGACAGUGCUGAGCCUCAGUGUUGCGGUCUCGAAAAUGGCCACAGGACCUAGCAGAGCCCGGGUCCCCAGAGCCCGAUGUUCACCGCACAGAAAAAGGCAGUGAGAUCUCAGCGUGGCCUCGCGCCUGCGCGGUCCGGAGCCGCCUUCCCAGCACCAGCCGAGCAGACCGGCGGUGACCUGGUAUUUCCUUGUCCCAAUUAAGAUGCAGAGCGGGUCGGAAACGGGAAGAAGAAGUCAGUCCAACCUCCUCAUCUUGCCGUUGGGAAGUGCCACGCUCAGAGUCCCCCAGGAGGGUCAUGGCCAGCCAGAGGCAGAAUUCAGG